rnacentral:rRNA from 1 species
AACAGCACCUCAAGUGGUCAGGAUGAUUAUUGGGCCUAAAGCAUCCGUAGCCGGCUCUGUAAGUUUUCGGUUAAAUCUGUACGCUCAACGUACAGGCUGCCGGGAAUACUGCAGAGCUAGGGAGUGGGAGAGGUAGACGGUACUCGGUAGGAAGGGGUAAAAUCCUUUGAUCUAUUGAUGACCACCUGUGGCGAAGGCGGCUUACUGGACCAAUACUGACGCUAAGGUGCGAAAGCGUGGGGAGCGAACAGG